rnacentral:rRNA from 1 species
AGAGUUUGAUCCUGGCUCAGGAUGAACGCUGGCGGCGUGCCUAAUACAUGCAAGUCGAGCGAACAGAUAAGGAGCUUGCUCCUUUGAAGUUAGCGGCGGACGGGUGAGUAACACGUGGGUAACCUACCUAUAAGACUGGGAUAACUUCGGGAAACCGGAGCUAAUACCGGAUAACAUUUAGAACCGCAUGGUUCUAAAGUGAAAGAUGGUUUUGCUAUCACUUAUAGAUGGACCCGCGCCGUAUUAGCUAGUUGGUAAGGUAACGGCUUACCAAGGCGACGAUACGUAGCCGACCUGAGAGGGUGAUCGGCCACACUGGAACUGAGACACGGUCCAGACUCCUACGGGAGGCAGCAGUAGGGAAUCUUCCGCAAUGGGCGAAAGCCUGACGGAACAACGCCGCGUGAGUGAUGAAGGGUUUCGGCUCGUAAAACUCUGUUAUUAGGGAAGAACAAAUGUGUAAGUAACUGUGCACAUCUUGACGGUACCUAAUCAGAAAGCCACGGCUAACUACGUG